UGGGGAAUCUUGCGCAAUGGACGAAAGUCUGACGCAGCGACGCCGCGUGGGUGAUGAAGGCCUUCGGGUUGUAAAGCCCUGUGGGGAGGGACGAAUAAGUUGCGGUUAAUACCCGCAGCGAUGACGGUACCUCCUUAGCAAGCACCGGCUAACUCUGUGCCAGCAGCCGCGGUAAGACAGAGGGUGCAAACGUUGUUCGGAAUUACUGGGCGUAAAGCGCGUGUAGGCGGCUAUGCAAGUCGGAUGUGAAAGCCCUCGGCUCAACCGGGGAAGUGCACCCGAAACUGCAAAGCUAGAGUCUCGGAGAGGAUCGUGGAAUUCUCGGUGUAGAGGUGAAAUUCGUAGAUAUCGAGAGGAACACCGGUGGCGAAGGCGGCGAUCUGGACGAUGACUGACGCUGAGACGCGAAAGCGUGGGGAGCAAACA
rnacentral:rRNA from 2 species